GGGAGGGGGAGGUGUAUUCUAAAUCAUGCUGUUGGUAACAAAAAUAGGUCUGUAACAGCCUUAAUGUAACGGUAACAGUUCGUCGCUGCGCAAAAUUUUUUUUGAAAAAUUUUUAAAAUUCAUGCAAUGAAUAGAUAUGUAAAGAUAUAAUUAAAAUUAUGAUAUACAACUAAUAAUAAGCAUAAUAACAACAACAACAACAACUACAACAACAAAGCCUUAAUUCCAAACUAGUUGAGGGUCGGCCAUACAGAUAUUUUUUUGCCAUUUAGCUCUGUUGGACUCCAAAUAACAGGCAUAAAUAUAUCAAAUAAAGACGUUAAAUGCAUUUGAUGAUCUAAGCUCAAGACUUAAGUUCAUGAUCAAGAAAUAUAUAUUUAAAGAUAUAACUAAAACUAAGAUACACAAUUAAGUAUUGAUUUGCCCCCCUUCACUUCUGAUAAAACUUUUCUAUUUGAUGAUCUAAGCUCAAGAACUCAAGCAUGCCUAAAGAAAGGAAGUUUCACUUGAUAAAAUUGAGAGAAAAUGGCUAGAGAAAGUGAAAGUGUAGUAAACUGAAUGAAUAAAGCCAACACUGUGUCUGCCCAAAAAAAAAAAAAAAAGAAACUCUAGCUGCUGCCUGAUGUGAAGACUGUCGGUAAUGGUCUUUACCAUUACUUAGCGGCCGUAAUGGCUUUGACACAUCAAAUUUUGAAAAUGCCCUUAUUUCAAGGCUGUAACAGCAAUGGCAUUGGUAGGUUAAAAUACCUGUAAAUAAUAGCUGUUAUGUAAUGUUGUUUUUUAAGACCAUGGAUGUAGCGUAACAGUUGUAAUGAAAAAGUGUAACAGGGUGUAAAGGCUGUAAUGGACCAGGACCAGUUCACCUGUGAUUUCCAAAUAUCUUUAUCAAAACAGCCUGUAACAUAAUGGCAGAUGAAAAACUGAUGCAUUAUGGCUGUUAUUUAAAACCCUGGUUUCAAAAUGAAUGUCUGGGUGAUAUUUUUUAUAAAGGCUUGAUGCAUAUUAUGCAUUGUUUUUAAUUGUAAAAUAUAUUAUAAUAAGUCAACAACCAUUACCCCUUAAGCCUUAUGCAACCGCAUUGAUAUACUCUUUUAUAUGAUUUUCGUAAUAACAUUGAGCUUUGAUACUAACUUACUGUUUUUUUCUGGUUUUAUGCCUCUAUUAUAUUAAUUCAGUUAUGUUAAUCUAGGAUUGGGAUCUUAUAAAAAAAUGAUUCUUUGCCUUGUGCAACUGGAGGACAUGUAAUCUUUUUGAUUUAUUCUCAUAGAACGCCCGCCAUUAGAAGCCCCUCUUGAUUGGCCGACAAGGAAGAGAAUUGCAUUGGGGUCUGCAAGAGGGCUUUCUUAUUUACAUGAUCAUUGUGAUCCAAAGAUUAUUCACCGUGAUGUAAAAGCUGCAAAUAUAUUGUUGGAU
rnacentral:misc_RNA from 1 species